GUGUAGAGGGGACCUGGUGGUGGCCUGUAGUGACACAAGGCAGUGAGUAUUGAAGAGAGCAGAGAGAAACUUGCUCUGGCGCAGAUCACAGCAGGUUUAAUAGGGACUCCCGUUUGUUUUCGAUAUGCACAGUCAUGCACAAUUAGACAUACAGAUGCCAUCAUCUGUGGAUGAUCUCGAGCUUUGCCUCAACCCCGAUGAAGCCGUGCCCAUGUAUGAAAUAGUUGCUAAGCGCUUAAUCAAAACUCAAUCUGCAUUUGAAUUGAGAUUCAUUCCAGGCCACACACUAACGGCUAACCAUUUUACUUAGGGUACAAGCAAAGGCUUCGUUUCUUUGAACAAUCCAGGGUGGUAAACCGUUGGCAAAGCAGUUAUAUUGGCUGCAUAUUGCUUGUAUUUUGAGACUUGGUAUGAAGGCUGUGCGGCAUUUUUGGUGGUCACAAGUUUCUGCCUUCAAGUCACAUUUCCCAGCCACCUUGAGGUGAAAAAAGGGACCCAUCUCUCUUCACAUGUGCCUGUUUUGUAUUUCAGGUACAAAUGCAUAGGUAAACAACUCUGUGGGCAGUGAUGACUUAAAUAUCGUUUCUCUGUGAGGUUUAGCCUGCGAGGUGAGCUCAGGAGAUCGAUUUACAGCACAGGGAGGCUGUGUGGAGGGAAGAGGGAAAACACAUUUAUUUGUGUGAAAGAGAAAAUGAAACAGGAAGGUUGUGAACGCCUCUCCUAGACAGGGAAGCUGACAGGCUCUGACAAGUGAGUCCUUCAGCAGAGCCAGCUGAUGAAUAUCUUCUGAGGCGGAGAGUUGGUGCUACCCUGAAGCCAAAGACACAUCCAGGAGCUACCAAGUAAAGUGAGGUGAUUCUCCAGGUGCUGGGCUGUCUCCAUCAGAAGCUCCUCUCGGUUGUCAAGGGAUGCUUCAGCCUCACGACGGAAGCUGGCCCACCUCUGGAAGUCCUCCUCAUCUACAACCUAGGAGACAGGAGAGGAUUAUCAGUAACCUUGAAUGGAUCAGCAAAUGGGAUUCCUCCUUGUUCCUGAUAUGCUGGCCUCCUCUAAGUCUGUGUGGAUCUAAGUCUGUGUGGAUCCUGAUAUGCUGGCCUCCUCUAAGUCUCACAGAAUUGGGUGUGGGAUUCUCCAUAGUGAUAUUUUGAAUGUAUAAAUUGACAAAAGAUUAAACCUUACAUUCCAUGAUCACCAAACAUCUGCUGAGUUCCUACUAUGCUCACGUUUCAGGAUGCUACAGAUUAUAUGCUGAUGGAGGGUGAGAUGAUUUCGUCAGAGGCCAGAGGGCGUUAGAUCUUCUGGAGCAGGAAUCACAGAGGGUUGCAAGUCAUCAUAUGGAUGCUGGGAACUGGAUGGAGGUCCUCUACAAGGGCAAACAUCCCAUACCUACAGCUCCAAUGAGGCACAUGAGGAAGAGGAGGCCGAUGCAGAAGAAGAUAUCUGUGUUGAUGCGCCGCUCGAUUUUGCUGCGUUUGUAUCGGGGGCCACUAUUGUUCAGCAUGGCUUUUGUUUCAUGGCCUUUGAGAAAAAAUUGGAAAAUUCAGUUUCUUGGCUCCUACAGAAGCUUUUAAUAAAAGUGCUGACACUUCAUGCAGAAGAGAAGUGGAGCCAAAAUCUGUCACCCUACUAUUCACCAGCUACACUUCCACAUAAUAUCUUGCUCAAAGGAAAAAAAAAUGCCAAACUUGGAAGACUAUCAGUUUUCCUGGUUACUUCUUUUCUAGCUGGGGAAACUGAGGAUCAGGCUAGAAGGAACUUGUCCAACGGGAAAGGAUAACUUAACACUGGAAUUGCCUGGAAAGCCAGGAUCCCAUCUUCCAGCAACUUGUGAUGCCCAGGGAACUUCAGGGGAGGUGCUGAGAAACUAACACGUGGCCUUCAGAUGGUGACUCUUCUUAGGAGCUGCUGGAUUUUAAUGUCUGUGUGUGCUCAACACCAGUCAAUGCGAGAUGUGUUACUUGUAUUUUUGUGUGUGUAAAAUUAAAAACAAAACAAAACAAAACAAAAAAAACAGUACGCCGGUUCCAGAAGAGAUGGCUGCAGGGCUACUGAGUUAGCUGCCUUGAGGAUUCAAGAUAUCAACAACAGUUGGAAUGAAUGAGCUCAGAUUAUUAAAUUA